rnacentral:rRNA from 1 species
AAUAGAUACCCGGGUAGUCCACGCCGUAAACGAUGAGUGCUAAGUGUUGGGGGUUUCCGCCCCUCAGUGCUGCAGCUAACGCAUUAAGCACUCCGCCUGGGGAGUACGGUCGCAAGACUGAAACUCGAAAGGAAUUGACGGGGGCCCGCACAAGCGGUGGAGCAUGUGGUUUAAUUCGAAGCAACGCGAAGAACCUUACCAGGUCUUGACAUCCCGGUGACCACUAUGGAGACAUAGUUUCCCCUUCGGGGGCAACGGUGACAGGUGGUGCAUGGUUGUCGUCAGCUCGUGUCGUGAGAUGUUGGGUUAAGUCCCGCAACGAGCGCAACCCUUAUUCUUAGUUGCCAUCAUUCAGUUGGGCACUCUAAGGAGACUGCCGGUGAUAAACCGGAGGAAGUGGGGAUGACGUCAAAUCAUCAUGCCCCUUAUGACCUGGGCUACACACGUGCUACGAUGGACGUGCAAACGGUUGCAACCGCAGGGGGAGCUAAUCCGNUAAAACCGUUCUCAGUUCGGAUUGUAGGCUGCAACUCGCCUAC